rnacentral:rRNA from 1 species
GGGAGGCGUAGGCGGCUGAUUAAGUCAGCGGUGAAAGGUAGCAGCUUAACUGUUUUACAUGCCGUUGAUACUGGUUAGCUUGAGUUGACAGAAGGCAGAUAGAAUUCCUGGUGUAGCGGUGAAAUGCUUAGAUACCAGGAGGAAUACCGAUUGCGAAGGCAGUCUGCUGCAGUCACACUGACGCUGAGGCUCGAAGGUGCGGGGAUCAAACAGGAUUAGAUACCCCCGGU